UACGUAGGUGGCAAGCGUUGUCCGGAAUUAUUGGGCGUAAAGGGCGCGCAGGCGGCGUCGUAAGUCGGUCUUAAAAGUGCGGGGCUUAACCCCGUGAGGGGACCGAAACUACGAUGCUAGAGUAUCGGAGAGGAAAGCGGAAUUCCUAGUGUAGCGGUGAAAUGCGUAGAUAUUAGGAGGAACACCAGUGGCGAAAGCGGCUUUCUGGACGACAACUGACGCUGAGGCGCGAAAGCCAGGGGAGCAAACGGG
rnacentral:rRNA from 1 species